UCCCUUCAGAAGUUGUGUUGGUGAAGAAGAUAAGCAUCCUCAAAUGGAAGACUGGUCUUUAGUCAAUGGUGUAUGAGCAACUAAACUCCCCUCCUAGAAUCUUCAAACAAACCCUCAUGGUUUUGUUUCUUUCUUUACUCACAGUUAAAGGUGUGGGUAAGCAUAGGAAGGGAAGGUAGC
ensembl:misc_RNA 7SK 7SK RNA